rnacentral:rRNA from 1 species
UAUCUCUGUAGAGUCUGCAUAUCAAUAAGCGGAGGAAAAGAAACUAACUAGGAUUCCCUCAGUAACGGCGAGUGAAGCGGGAAGAGCUCAAAUUUGAAAUCUUCGAGGUUUUACCUUGACGAAUUGUAGUUUAUAAGAAGUGUUUUCUGUUGGAGUUUUGGUAAAAGUUCUUUGGAAUAGGACAUCAUAGAGGGUGAGAAUCCCGUAUUUGACCAUUAUUUCCAGCUUUGUGAUACACUUUCAAAGAGUCGGAUUGUUUGGGAAUGCAGUCCAAAAUGGGUGGUAAAUUUCAUCUAAAGCUAAAUAUUGGCGAGAGACCGAUAGCGAACAAGUACCGUGAGGGAAAGAUGAAAAGAACUUUGAAAAGAGAGUUAAACAGUACGUGAAAUUGUCAAAAGGGAAGCGUUUGACACCAGUGUUGUUUUCUCGAAAAUCAAUUAAAAAUGACUGGAUUUUGUGUUGUAUUGACUUUAUCAGCUUUCUGCACUCUUUUCUUGUCUUUUUUAAUGCACUUUUCGUUUAACAAGUCAACAUCAAUUUCUUUUGUUGUAAAAGAGUCAUUGGAAGGUGGCUUUCUUUUCGGAGAAAGUGUUUAUAGCCUUUGGCCUCUGCAAUCGGAGAGAUUGAGGUCUGCAGCGUAGAUCCUUCGGGGUUAGAUACAUUUGUGCUAAGUUAUAGCCUUUCAUAGACAACUUGUUGACUAUGAUCAGUCAUGUAGCUUACUCGCUUAUGCUAUUUUACCUACGCUUAGGAUGUUGAGUCAUCACACAUCUCU